GGGGUUUCACCAUGUUGGCCAGGCUGGUCUUAAACUCCUGACCUCGUGAUCUGCCCACUUUGGCCUCCCAAAGUGCUGGGAUUACAGGCAUGAGCCACCGCACCCAGCCAAGUAAUCCUAUAUUAUAAGAGUCUAAGGGUCUAGAGGACAAAAAGUCUGUAGGUCUUUACAUUGUCAAGAACAAUGAGAUUGUAAGUAUUUUUGGAUGAUAGUAAAUACCUCUCCCUGACUCUUAGAGUAAACUUUGGUUAGUAAUGUAAUGGUUAAUGUAAAGUGCUAGACUUUGAAGAAAUGUAAGAGUGUGGAAAUAUUUCUAGACUCAUCAACUCUACCUUUUAAGCAUUCAUCUAUUUGUUUACUCCAGAGGCCUUUGUUUAUAGAGAGGAAACCAUUUUGGAUUCAUCUUUUUACUUGCCACUCCAUUCAGGCAGCUGCUGAUGCUAAAAUGGAAGACAUAACUAAACUUUCCCUUCUCCAGAGUUCGAAAUUUGAGCAACCCAGCCAAGAAGUUCAAGAUUGAAGCCAAUGCUGGGCAACUGUACCUGACAGGGGUGGUGGUACUGCACAAGGAUGUCAACGUGGUAGUAGUGGAAGGGGGUGAGUCUGAAAAACUUGAGGGAGACUGUCCCCAGACAACCCUAGGCUUAGAGUGAUUAGCAUUGUGGGGAGAAAGGAGAAAAAGAUCGUAUUUUAGUGCCAUACCUGAUAUAAUAUGCUAGGUCUCUGCUUCUGUGUUUUUUGGAGUAGAAGGCCCUAAGAUGUGGUUCCUGAGAUUGCUUCAACUACCACAUUAAUGUCUGAGCUCAGAGGUUCUUUCUACCCCAUCAUCUUCCACAGUUCUGGCAAAAUUAUUCUUCUCUGUUUCCAGGCCCCAAGGCCCAGAAGAAAUUUAAGCGUCUUAUGCUGCAUCGGAUAAAGUGGGAUGAACAGACAUCUAACACAAAGGGAGAUGAUGAUGAGGAGUCUGAUGAGGAAGCUGUGAAGAAAACCAACAAAUGUGUACUA
rnacentral:lncRNA from 10 species